GAUUUCUUCAGAAACACCUCUUAUUCUGAUGUUUCUUUUUCUUGAUCUAUCUUCCAAAGCUGCUAUUUUAUUUUCAAGAUUAUCAACUUUAUUUACUAGAAACUGCACCUCCGUAUUGAUUACUUUAAUUUGAGUUCCAAACACUUCACAUUUUUUUUCCACUUCCACCACUGAUACUGCAACAUUUUUAAUUUCUUGUUUUAUCUCAUUGAAACUU